GGCGCGCGUGCGCACACUCAUGGUCGACCCUCGUCUCUUGAGGCGUUCGCCCUCAACAAUGGCGGCGACGCGGGAGGGGGAGAGUCAGGAACAGGAGCUGCUCCUUCGGCAGUGGGAGAGGCAGCAGAUAGAGCUGAAGCAGCAAAUGAUUGACCAUGACACUGAGGACUGGCAAAGCAAUGAGGGCUUUGAAGGGUUAGAGCGCAUUGGUGGUGUGGAUUUAUCUUACAUCAAGGGAGAUGAAGUCAACGCUUGUUCUUCAUUAGUGGUUCUCACUUAUCCUGACCUUAAGGUUGUCUAUGAGGAAUGCAAGAUGAUUUGUCUGAAUACUCCUUAUAUCCCAGGAUUUCUGGCAUUUCGGGAGACACCAUCCCUGGAAGAAGCUUUGAGUAGACUACAAGUCAAGGACCCCAGUCUUGUCCCUCAGGUUAUUUUUGCAGAUGGAAAUGGAAUCUUGCAUCACCGAGAGUUUGGUGUGGCAUGCCACUUAGGUGUCCUCACAGAUUUGCCAUGUGUUGGGGUUGCCAAGAAUCUCCUGUAUGUGGAUGGUCUGGAAGAAAAGAAUCUGCUGAAGGAAAAGGUCAAAGACCUUCAGAAAGGAGGUAAUGCGUUUUCACUAACUGGAAACUCCGGAAAGGUGUUAGGCAUGGCCCUUAAAAGCUGUGAGAAAAGCACCAAACCCAUUUAUGUAUCUGUGGGUCACAGAAUUAGUCUGGACACUGCUUUACGUCUGACUCACUCCUGCUGCAAAUACAGAGUACCAGAACCAAUUAGGCAGGCUGACAUAAAGUCCAGAGAAUAUAUUCGGGGAAGGGUCAACACAUCUUGAAGUUUGAGGAAAUAGCGGUCUCAAGUUAAUCUCACAAGAAAUCUCUCCAAGGAAAAGGGAGACUUGCACAAGACAAGACUGCACCUACUCUGUUGCUCUCUCAACUACUUAUACCAGCAGAAGUGCACUUACCUUGAUUUGCCUGAGGAAUUCCUCUUUCCAAAUUGGUUCAAUGGAUAAAUGCAUUAUGUCAUGCACUAUUGAGUUAUGCGGUGUUAUGUUAUCUCAGCCGGGAGCAGUUGACCUCAGCGUCCCUUGCCUAAGGAAGAGGAAAAAUAUCAGCCAGGGUUUCUGCUCCUGAUGAUUGUCCAAUAACAUCUGUGCAGAGUACUUGCUCCCAAAAGUCUGCCAGCACUACCUCCAGGAGAAAGUAAGGACAUUCCAGAGAAACAUAACCAUCAGUAGCGAAAUCUCAUGGUUUUUACAUAAACGAGCCAGCUGGGCUCAGAAUCCACCCGGGUGAGGAGUUGUAGUUUGUGAUUCUAUUUCUGAUCAGGACUUCAAAGCUAGGGAACUCCUCACCUACCUCAAUAUUAAUGGUAUCCUACAAUCAACAGGAAUUCAGAACCAAGCCUGGCCCCAACUAGCCAAUAUUUUUUGAUUUAUUUUGUAUCCCUCAUUUUAUUUUUAGUACAAUUUGGUGAUAUUUUCAGAGUUACAUGUUUUAAUACACUAAAUUGAUGUAUAUUUUUAAUAAGAUCACCCUGUGUGUAUAUCUGAAUGUGGGUGGAUACUCAAGGCUGCUACUUUUCAAUGUGCCAAAUGGAUUGCUGUAUUAACGGCUUAAAACAAGGGAAAUAACUUUGGAAAUGACUCUAGUAAGGAGGGAAUGGGGAAGAGCUGGGAAUGGGAUCAUAACUAGAUAGUUGCAGUUAAUUACAAACAUAUAGGCUCCUCGAGCCUGCUCCAGCAUUUGAUAAGAUCAAUGCUGAUUUGAUUGUGGCUUCAACUCUACUCUCCUGUCUACUCCCUAGAACCUUUGAUUCCCUUGCCAAUCAGGAGUCUUAUCUAACUCAGUUUUAAAAAUUUUUGAUGACCCUCCCUCCACUGCUCUCAGGGAAGAAAAUUCCGCAGACUAACGAUCCUCUGAGAGAAAAACUUUCUCCUCAUCUCAGGUCCUUUUUUUAAACCAUCUCCCCAGGCUCUAGUCUCUCUCACAAGGAGAAACAUCCUCUCUACAACCUGUCAAGGCCCCUCAGAAUCUUAUAUGUUUCAAUAAGGUCACCUCUCAUUCUUCUAAACUCUAAUGGAUACGACCCCAACCU